UGUGAGAGCGGGCUUGCUCGCGAUGGCGUCAGUCACACACUGGCACACCGCUAUCGCGAGCAAGCUCGCUCCCACA
rnacentral:misc_RNA from 3 species